UGGGAGCAAAGGCUUGGUUUCACAAUG
rnacentral:piRNA from 1 species